UACGGGGGGGGCAAGCGUUGUUCGGAAUUACUGGGCGUAAAGGGCUCGUAGGCGGCCAACUAAGUCAGACGUGAAAUCCCUCGGCUUAACCGGGGAACUGCGUCUGAUACUGGAUGGCUUGAAUCCGGGAGAGGGAUGCGGAAUUCCAGGUGUAGCGGUGAAAUGCGUAGAUAUCGAGAGGAACACCUGAGGUGAAGACGGGUUGCUGGGCCGACACUGACGCUGAGGAGCGAAAGCGUGGGGAGCGAACAGG
rnacentral:rRNA from 1 species